AAUAACUGAAGCUCUUGACCUGUACUGUAUCUGCAUGGCUUUAUGUAUUUCACUGCUGACACAUGAUUGGCUGAUCGGAUAAUUCCUGGAAUGAGCAGGUGUUUCUAAUAAAGUGGACGGAAGCAUGAGGUCAAUCGUCCACCUCUUUCUGUCUGCUGCUGCUUCACUUUCCGCUUCACUCGAGUUCUUGCCUCUCUUUCUCAACACUUCUCCUCCAGGUGAUCCACGGCCUUCCUCCUCUCCGUCAUCUCUUCGGUGCCCAUGUGAUCAUACUAAUCGGUGCUGUACUAUCCUCCUGCAGACCCACAAGCCAAUGACACAGAACCACUAAUCCUACAUAACUAGGUUUAUCUUGUAGCAAAUGUUGUGCAACAUAGUUAACAUUAGCAUUUACUGAAAAUAAAAAUUGAAUAAUAAAUAAGUAACAUCAACAAACCUUUGAUAAAUAAUCAUUUAUUUUCACUAAAAUAAAUGAACCUAACAUUAAUAUUACCUUCCUUGUCAACUUCUUUAGCAUGCUACCUAACAUAUUAGCUAAUGUGAUAGAUAAUGCUAAUACUAAUAAUACUAGAUAAUACUAGCCAGUGAUAGAUAAGUUAGAUUAAUUUUACAUAACAAAGAACAUCCUAAAGAUGGAAACUUGCCAUAUUUUCUCACUUGGCCUGGUUAAUGUAUAUGUUACUGUGAGGGCCAAUUUUGGGGGUGCUACUUAACUUAUGAUUUUCACUAAGAUCUGAUUAUCAGUGUACACAAAUGCAAUAUCUAAACACAAAGUAUCUCAGUAACCGUAAUCUCAGUCAAAGAAGUAGCAACACUCCUACUUUAUUACUGCAAAAUAUAGUUAGUCAUUAGAUAUCUGAGGCUUAGCAUCAAGAUACAAUAAACCUUUGUAGAGUGUGAAGUUUGAACAAAGUCAACUUUCAUCGUGUAGAGGUUUACAUGUGAAAAGUUAAUGUGCAAGAAUAACGCUUCAACUUUUGUCAUGUUUUCAUUACACCCAGCUAACUUAUCCAACACCGGCUAACUAACAUUAAUCACUAGGUAAGAAGAACCAAGUUAUCUAGUUAACAUUAGCUAACUAACCCAAAACACCACCUUAACAGUUGGUUUUCGAAUUGUACAUAAUGUACGUAAAAACUUUGUUAAUGAAUAACUAUUUAACCCCAUUUUAUUCAUCUUUUAUUCAUCCACAUAUGCCUAGCUGUAUUUAUAUUGGCUACGCCCUGUGAAAAUCUUCAUUUCAGAAAAUAAAGUAAAAAUGAUGUCCUAAAGGUUAACAGAAAGAGGAAGUGGACUAACCAUCACACGAACACUUUCUCUCCCCUCAGUAUAACACAGUGCACAUCGUUUUACUUUACAUACCUUAAUUAGGUUACUUUAUUUAGAAUUUUGUAACAUUUAUAAGAUUAUUAUCUGUUCUUUAUAUGAUAGGAAUGUAUGUUGGCAGCUACACCAAAAGAAGUCCCUUUUACACCAUGUACAUGACAAAUAGAGCACUGUGAUUAAGCUGGCCUGGUGUACCAAAAUGCUUAAUGAGCACUGGCUCCUUGUGUUUGAAAAUGUUAUGAGUUCAUAAUUAACUAUACAGAACAGGAUUAACCCCAGGGGACAAAACACAACCAAAAACACAUGAAUCUGUGACUGUUUAAAAUUAUUUUGGGUUAAAUCCAAGCCUCAGAGCUGUCUUUUGCCCCCUGCUGGUCAAAAUAAGACAACGCACCCUGUCUGUAUUUUUCAUUUUGUCAGAGGGAGCAAUAUAAUGUGAUGCAUGUGAAAUACUAAAGGGAAUAAAAUGGGCAUUUCUCAGCCUGUA